UAAUUGUUUUAUAUGCGCAUUCAUGAGUACUCUGAUAUUUGACUAGUCCGGUCUAACACAACGUUAGGUCGUCAGUACAGGGUUGAAAAGCCUUAGGCCUCGAUCUAACAGAAUACGCUAACCUAGGUACGGGUUGCAAAGCCUUGAUGCCUUGACGCAGCGGGACGAGUUAGUGUAUGAACUAGUCUGAGGUCGUGGAGUAAAUUUGUGACUUUGACCGGGAUCGUCCCUAGCCGUCACGUAGCGCUUCCGGACCAUGGUGUUGGGUUGGACGGUCAGUCAUGUUCUUGUUUGAAUUGUUGGCUGGCCGGUUGGCAUUUCAUCUCCAACCCUUGGGUGUUGGACGGUCGAUCGGUCAUGUUCUUGUUUGAUUGUGGCCGGUUGAUCGACCAUAUGUCUAGGACUGUUUGGGGGUGUUACAGUCGGGGGCAUUCGUAUUUCAUAGUCAGAGGUGAAAUUCUUGGAUUUAUGAAAGACGAACAACUGCAAGCAUUUGCCAAGGAUGAUGUUUUCAUUAAUCAAGAACGAAAGUUGGGGGCUCGAAGACGAUCAGAUACCGUCCUAGUCUCAACCAUAAACGAUGCCGAUCAGGGAUCAGCGGAUGUUGCUUUUAGGACUCCGCUGGCACCUUAUGAGAAAUCAAUGUUUUUGGGUUCCGGGGGGAGUAUGGUCGCAAGGCUGAAACUUAAACGAAUUGACGGAAGGGCACCACCAGGACUGGAUCCUGCGGCUUAAUUUGACUCAACACGGGGAAACUUACCAGGUCCAGACAUAGUAAAGAUUGACAGACUGAGAGCUCUUUCUUGAUUCCAUAGGUGGUGGUGCAUGGUCGUUCUUAGUUGGUGGAGCGAUUUGUCCGGUUAAUUCCGUUAACGAACAAGACCUCAGCCUGCUAACUAGCUACGUGGAGGCAUCCCUUCACGGCCGGCUACUUAGAGGGACUAUGGCCGUUUAGGCCAAGGAAGUUUGAGGCAAUAACAGGUCUGUGAUGCCCGUAGAUGUUCUGGGCCGCACGAGCGCUACACUGAUGUAUUCAACGAGUUCACACCUUGGUCGACAAGCGCUACACUGACUAAUCUUUGAAAUUUCAUUAGUGAUGGGGAUAGAUCAUUGCAAUUGUUGGUCUUUAACGAGGUAUUCCUAGUAAGAGCGAGUCAUCAGCUCGUGUUUACUACGUCCCUGCCCUUUGUACACACCGCCCGUCGCUCCUACCGAUUGAAUGAUCCGGUGAAGUGUUCGGAUCGCGGCGAUGUGGGUGGUUUGCCGUCUGCAACGUCGCGAGACAUCCACUAAACCUUAUCAUUUAGAGGAAGGAGAAGUCGUAACAAGGUUUUCGUAGGUGAACCUGCAGAAG
rnacentral:rRNA from 1 species